rnacentral:snoRNA from 1 species
UGGAUCGAUGAUGACUACUGGUGGCGUCUGAGUCAUGUAUGAUGAAUACGUGUCUGCAACUCUGAGGUCCGU